rnacentral:rRNA from 1 species
GACGAACGCUGGCGGCGUGCUUAACACAUGCAAGUCGAACGGUAAGGCCCUUCGGGGUACACGAGUGGCAAACGGGUGAGUAACACGUGGGUGAUCUGCCCUGCACUUCGGGAUAAGCCUGGGAAACUGGGUCUAAUACCGGAUAGGACCACUGCCUGCAUGGGUGGUGGUGGAAAGCUUUUGCAGUGUGGGAUGGGCCCGCGGCCUAUCAGCUUGUUGGUGGGGUGAUGGCCUACCAAGGCGACGACGGGUAGCCGGCCUGAGAGGGUGACCGGCCACACUGGGACUGAGCUAAGGCCCAGGCUCCUACGGGAGGCAGCAGUGGGGAAUAGUGCACAAUGGGCGCAAGCCUGAUGCAGCGACGCCGCGUGAGGGAUGACGGCCUUCGGGUUGUAAACCUCUCUCAGCACCGACGAAGCGCAAGUGACGGUAGGUGCAGAAGAAGGACCGGCCAACUACGUGCCAGCCGCCGCCGUAA